GAUGAACGCUGGCGGCGUGCCUAAUACAUGCAAGUCGAGCGAACAGACGAGGAGCUUGCUCCUUUGACGUAGCGGCGGACGGGUGAGUAACACGUGGGUAACCUACCUAUAAGACUGGGAUAACUUCGGGAAACCGGAGCUAAUACCGGAUAAUAUUUCGAACCGCAUGGUUCGAUAGUGAAAGAUGGCUUUGCUAUCACUUAUAGAUGGACCUGCGCCGUAUUAGCUAGUUGGUAAGGUAACGGCUUACCAAGGCAACGAUACGUAGCCGACCUGAGAGGGUGAUCGGCCACACUGGAACUGAGACACGGUCCAGACUCCUACGGGAGGCCGCAGUAGGGAAUCUUCCGCAAUGGGCGAAAGCCUGACGGAGCACCGCCGCGUGAGUGAUGAAGGUCUUCGGAUCGUAAAACUCUGUUAUUAGGGAAGAACAAACGUGUAAGUAACUGUGCACGUCUUGACGGUACCUAAUCAGAAAGCCACGGCUAACUACGUG
rnacentral:rRNA from 1 species